AAAUAGAGUAAAUAUUACACACGCACAGAGAGAGAGAGAGAGAGAACGAGCGAGGUGGAGAACCCUAGCGUAUUUCUUCCGGCAAUCGAGGGUUCUUGUUUUCGAUUCUGAAGGCGAUGAUAUUACGAACUCCGCCACCGAGGAAUAGGAGGGCGGGUUCUGUCGCCGACCACGAGAGCCCCGUCUCCGACCGUCGCCUCGUGCUCUACGAUGACCCCGUCCCCGUCCCUUCCGUCGACCCGCCACCCGAUCAGAUGGUCUGUACCUACCACUGCCGUCAGAUGAUCUUUAUUUGCUCAACUUGUUCAUACUUCAUACAUUGACGAUAUAUGUAUGGUAACUCCUAUUUUCCUGUUUAUACUACAGAUCUUUAUUUGCUCAAAUUGAUAGGUUUGUUACAGAUCUUUAUUCGCUCAACUUGUUCAUACUUCAUACAUUUAUGAUAUAUGUAUGCUAACUCCUACUUAGGAGCAAGAAAUAAGUGGGAAAUUUUACACAAGGAUGGGGUCAUAUCCUUGUGCAAUCCUAGAAAGUAAUGCGGUUGGAUCCCUUUGCAGCACUACGGAGACCAAGGAUGAAGUCCAUGCUAAUGUUGUUCUGAGGAGAAGAAGGGACUGAAUGUAGGGCCAAGUGCUUUUGAGAUUUCCGAUGAGAUAUGGUUUUACCCUGCAAGCCUUUUCUCUCAAAAGAACUUUGGUGCAUAAGAUAUUCUAAUCCUCCAUUCUUCUUAGUCUACCAAAUUUGAAGAUGUCAUUACGUACUUGAUCAGCAACUUUUAAUUUGAAAGACAGCAGAUCAAUCUUCUUGUCAUCAUAGUCAUCUUAAAUAGGUUUCCUAGUGUUUAUUUUCUUCUUAAUGCUUUGUUAAAGUUAAUGCUUUGCCUGGGACAUUGGAAACUCAUGUGGCCUGUCUCUCCACAUGAAAAGCAAGGUGUUGAAAGCUGCUGCCAGCUGCAUGUAGAGCUUACUGAUGACCAUCUAGGCUGCAAAUGAUUUAAAGGCUGAUCUUGGUGUUUAUGUCAGAAACACAAUGUGGCAAGGUAACAUGCUGUUACUUGUUCAAACGAAGAAGUGUUAAGAGAUUGUAGAACUCUGAUUGGUGGUCCUUUGCACUCUUGUGAUGUUGCUUUAAUUCAUUGUCUCAUACAAAUUUAAUAGCUGGCUGAGAGAAACUGAUCAUACAACUUUGAACUUAUGUAACUAAGCGGAAAAUCUUCACCUUUUCUAGCAUAGUUUUUUUUUCUUCCUUGAGGUGUUUCCACUAUUCAAAAGCUUUUCUUUGAUAUGCUCUUUCACAGAAAAACAAAUUUCUCUUUUCAAACAUUGACUUCUAGGUGAAGUUAUUCUUUAUAUAAGUUUCCUAUCCAAGAAAAUGCUUGUUCUAAGAAGUUUGGGACAUCAACUGAUACCCCAUCAAUGUUGGAUUAGAGUGCUUGAACCAAUGUUUCUUCAAAACAUUUUCAUAUGGCUUCAUCAUGUAAAACAGUUUCAUAGAACAUGCUGUUAAAAUCGCCUUCCAUGUCUUCCGUGAAUUCCCGCUCUGGUGUAUUUGAGCAGGAAUUCAAGUUCACCAUGCUGCUGACAUGCUGACCUAGCAUUGGCAUAGUAUAUACCAUGUUUUACCGAUGCUAAGCACAUGCUGGCAUGUGUAGUUACAAAUUCAUUGACAUGCAGCCAUGUUAUCAGCUGAAAAGGUAACUCAAGUUAUGUGCCAAUCUGUCAACAGUAGGUAUGACUCCUCAAUGCAUGGUUUUAAAAUACCUUUUUUUGGCUGUUUUGUAUCCUAUUAUGGGCUUCUGUUUGCUCAAUACUUCACCUUUAUUCAACUUGCUCAUAAUAUGCUCAAACCUUUGUCUCAGAUUUUUCACUUCAUAUUUUUACUGUUGGUCCUCUUCCUCUCCAGUCAUUCCUCUCUUUUCUGGCAUGGUGUCAUAUUGAACUUCACAUGUGGAAGUUAAAGAACCUUGAAAUCUGCUCUUGUACAAAUUUUUGAUGGGAAUAGGGCUAAAGAUAUAAAUUACACAAGAAAGAAGAAGAGACUUGAGAAAGAAAGAGAGUAGGCAAGAAAAAAAAAGUAGAUUUGGAAUAUGGCAGUGGAAUUUCUUUUCGUUCUUUGUGAAACUCCCACAAGGGCAUUUAUAGAUGGACGAGUCAUUAUGAUUCUAGUUAUAAAUUUAUGAUAAGGCAUGGAUAGGAAUGAUUGGUUUGAAAACUAUAUUGAUGUAUGAUUUGCAAGCACAUGUAUUUAGGUCAAGUGAUUAUGCAAGGCAUUUUGUUUGAAACCAUAUGCUUGCCUCCGUAGAUUAUCGUUUUUAUGUUUUUAAUGGUCAUAUGCUCUUCACUUGGUUUCUUGGUUGAAGAUAACUGUUAUUUUUCGGUCACUAAAUGCCUUCUACCAGUAAAUAAAAUCCAUGGCAAUGAAGAAAAUGUUUUUUUUUCCAACAGGCAAACUGUUUACAUGGUGACAAAACAUGUAAGCAAUAAUGGGAUAUCCUCAUAUCCCUGAAUUUCUUGCUUGUGUGCUUGCAUGCCAUGAAAAGAAUAUGUCUAACCUCCAUGGAUGUGUUAGAUCAUGUUAAGGCUUGUCUGUAAUUCAUUGGUGCAUGAAUUCUUCCUUUAGACUCCAUGAUGGUUCUUCAAACCAUGCACAUUCAACAUUUAGUGGACUUCUAGAAAUAGUUAGUAAAAAGCUAUGAUUCCGAUUUCCCAUGUUCAUACUCUCGAGCACUAUGUAUGUAUGUAUGGAGCCAGAUUAGAAUCAGGUCGAUCAGAUUUGGACUCAGAUUCGGUUAGGUCAAAACUCAAUAAUGGAGGUCCUACAUCAAUGAUUCAAGCCGUUGAAUGUGAUCUACGAUCUCAAAAUUGGUUACACACAAAAAAUCAUAUGAUUUGAAGACUCUUA